rnacentral:rRNA from 1 species
GAUGAACGCUGGCGGCGUGCCUAACACAUGCAAGUCGAGCGAACGGACGAUAAGCUUGCUUCCCUGCUGUUAGCGGCUGACUGGUGAGUAACACUUGGAUAACCUUCCUAUAAGACUGGGAUAACUUCGGGAAACCGGUGCCAAUACCGGCUAAUAUUUUCAACCGCAUGGCUCAAACGUGCAUCAUGUUCUUUCUGUUACUUAUAGAUGGAUCCGCGCUGCAUUAGCUAGUUGGUAAGGUAACGGCUUACCAAGGCAACGAUGCAUAGCCGACCUGAGAGGGUGAUCGGCCACACUGGAACUGAGACACGGUCAAGAAUCCUACGGGAGGCAGCAGUGGGGAAUCUUGCGCAAUGGGGGAAAACCUGAAAGAGCAACAACGCGAGAGUGAUGAAGGGCUUCGGAUCGAAAAGCUCUGUUGUUAGGGAAGAAAAGAUGGGUGAGAAUCUGAACAUGUGAUGACGGUACCUAAACAGUAAGCCGCGGAUAACUACGUG